rnacentral:pre_miRNA from 1 species
CCGUAUCGACGCUGGAUCGCUUCGCUUUCAUCGGUGACUUUAGUGUGAAAUGCAACUAAGGCACGCGGUGAAUGCCAAGCGAAUAAAGCGUUUCUUCCUCCU